rnacentral:rRNA from 1 species
CUACCAUGCAGUCGAGGGGUAGAACACUUCGGUGUUUGAGACCGGCGCACGGGUGCAUAACGCGUAUGCAAUCUACCUUGUACAGGGGAAUAGCCCAGAGAAAUUUGGAUUAAUGCCCCAUAGUAUAUAACCUUCGCAUGUUGGUUAUAUUAAAGUUCCAACGGUACAAGAUGAGCAUGCGUCCCAUUAGUUAGUUGGUAAGGUAACGGCUUACCAAGACGAUGAUGGGUAGGGGUCCUGAGAGGGAGAUCCCCCACACUGGUACUGAGACACGGACCAGACUCCUACGGGAGGCAGCAGUGAGGAAUAUUGGUCAAUGGUCGCAAGACUGAACCAGCCAUGCCGCGUGCAGGAAGACGGUCCUAUGGAUUGUAAACUGCUUUUAUACAGGAAGAAACCCUCCCACGUGUGGGAGCUUGACGGUACUGUAGGAAUAAGGAUCGGCUAACUCCGUGCCAGCAGCCGCGGUAAUACGGAGGAUCCAAGCGUUAUCCGGAAUCAUUGGGUUUAAAGGGUCCGUAGGCGGUCUUAUAAGUCAGUGGUGAAAGCCCAUCGCUCAACGAUGGAACUGCCAUUGAUACUGUAAGACUUGAAUGCUUAGGAAGUAACUAGAAUAUGUAGUGUAGCGGUGAAAUGCUUAGAUAUUACAUGGAAUACCAAUUGCGAAGGCAGGUUACUACUAAGUGAUUGACGCUGAUGGACGAAAGCGUGGGGAGCGAACAGGAUUAGAUACCCUGGUAGUCCACGCCGUAAACGAUGGAUACUAGCUGUUCGGAGCAAUCUGAGUGGCUAAGCGA